GGUUUUUGUCGAACAGGAAGCGAGGAGAUACUGAUGGCGCCCGACUAGAAUGGAGUAGCAAUUAUCGCGUACAACUUCUUAUACUGUUUGUCGUGUCUACUAAGUCAUAAACAAAUUCAACUCGCAAUACACGAUGGAAGGGGAGAUAGAGGUGGAGAGCAGCAGUGAUGUAGGUCCGUCGGGGUCCGGAAUGGAGGAGCCGUCGGAGAGCGGUAUGGGCAUGGAGUCCUCAGAGGCCAUGUCGGCAGACAGCAGUGAUGCAGCAUCCCACCAUCACAGCCAGCACCACCACGGCAUUGCCCCAGAGUCAGACUGCCACGUGGGACAGAGCUCAGAGGGGGUCCCGGUGUUCCUACCAGAGACUAGUUCCAGUACGGAUGUCACCCACCACAGGGCCACCGUCCACCUCCCAGACUCCUCCUCUGUGGCCCAGUCCACCAGCGUCUCCACUGUAACACAGUCCAUCCUGGUGUCUGGGUCAGCCCAGGUAAUGGUUCACUCCAGCGCGGCGGUGUCUGACUCGACAGCCUCCACCUCCUCAGAUCUGGGAUCAGCCAUAGACAAGAUCAUAGAGUCUACCAUCGGGCCCGACAUCAUGAAUGGUUGUAUAGCAGUGACCAGUGCAGAGGACGGAGCUGCAGAGACAAGUGAGGCCCACACGUCAUCCUCGGCCCUGUCCAGCCAUCACCGCAUCACCAUCGAGGCUCUGGGAGAGGGUCCUACCUCUACCUGCCACGACCAGGGAGACAUGCAGGAUAACCUGGACCCUGACCAGCCAGACCAGCCCUCUGGCAGCCAUUACCCAGACCAUGAGGACCAGGAGAACCAGCCCCAGCACUCUCACGCAUCUCAGUAUAUGGACUGUAGCGGUGGAGAUGCAGACGGACCUGACCAGACUGGAGAGUCGUCCUCCUCGUAUGUAGACGACGAGGAAUCUGACCAGACUAGGAUCUCGUCCCGGUCUCUGUCCCGCUUCCCGGAGUACGGUGUAGUCGACAACGCUGACCAGGACCUGCGGGGGUACGUGGAGGGUAGCGGAGCCGCCGACUCCAACCUCUCGUCCCCCGGCAUUCGACGACGCCACACUCACUAUGUUGUGGACUGCAGUGCGGGGACGGAGGUGUACCUGGAGUGUGAAGAGGAUUUGAGGCCGCAGCACUCUCAGAGCUACAUCGACAGCAGCAGCAGAGCUAACCACUCCCAGGGUCACUUAAUCCUGCCUAACCACUCCCAGGGUCACCGAACCCUACAGCAGUAUGUGGAGUUUGUUGCUGCAGAUUCAGAGCAGCCCGGUUGUUCCAACUACCAGGAUCAGGAAGGGCAAAGGGAGGACCCAAACAAGAGCCCAAACCAGAACCAGGACCCAGACCAGCCACAGCACUCUGACCAGCAGCAGCCCCAUCACUCUCACUACAUGGAGACUACCAGCAGCAGCACUGGCCCAGAGGCCUCCCUGGGGUGGUACACUGGAAUAGGGGAGGGAGGUGAGGGCUCCUCCACAGACCACCCCCAGGCAGACACUGUGGGAUCAGUCCACCACCACCCCCAGGCAGACACCGCAGGCUCAGCAGAGGCUAUGGAGUGCACAGAGAGCCAGCCUGGCCCUUACAUCAGCAGCAGUGGGACCUCCUCCUCCCGCCUGGAGCCUGAGGUUGAGGGGGCCCCUGAGCCUCAAUGGUCCCCCAGUCUGGGGAGGCUUUUUAGGGGAGAGGAGGGUGGCGUGGUGGGGGGGUCUAGAACUUCAGCUGUGGAGGGGGGGGCCGGGGCUGGAAGAGGACCAGGGGUCACCGUCCCCCACACCAUGGCUGAACUGGAGGAGAUGAUGGAGGUGGUGAUCGUUCAGCAGUUCAAAUGCAAGAUGUGUCCCUACAAAAGCGUCUCCAAAGACACCCUCAUCAACCACAUGAGAGACCGGCACUUCAAACCCACAGGUGGCCCCCCUCCUAAGAAGCGUGGUCGGCCCAGGCGUACUGAUACGUUGGCCCGUCAGCAGGCUGAGGUGAAACCAGAGCCACAGCCUGAGGAGCCAGAGGACGAAGACAUCGUAGACACUGGGGCCCUCCAUGACUCUGAAGAGGACAGUGACUAUAACCCAGCAGAUGAGGAUUGUAGGGGCAGACAGCCUCCCCUGCUGAGACAACCUGCCCCUCCUCCCUGCUCCUCCACAGACCGCCCCCGACGCAGGGUGGGACUCCCCAGGAAGUUCACCUACACAGAGGGCAGCUACAACUGCAAGGAAGCUGAGGGUGCAUUCAAGCAGCGUAUCGAGAGUGUGGACCCUCAAGGCUCCGAGGAAGCCAGUUCCUCAGACCUGGGAAACGGACCAGAUUCCUUGGCCAAUGGAAAAGCAGUGGAAGCCGGCAUCAGCCAGUCAGACUCUGAGAACAAAGACCCGUCACCCAAUGGGAGGCCGGAGGAGGCAGAGUUUUUCCCUAGGAAACGAGGUCGACCCUCCAAGAGGUUUCUCCGCAAGAAAUGCAAGAAGUACAUGAAAUAUUACACGUCUCUGAAGCCCCUCCUGAGGCCUCACAACUGUUGGAUUUGUGGCUCUCGCUUCCUGUCCCAGGAUGACUUGAGGUUCCAUGUAGACUCUCACCAAGGAAACGACCCAGAGUGCUUCAAGUGCCUGCAGUGUAACUACCGUUGCAAACGCUGGUCCUCGCUCAAGGAACACAUGUUUAACCACCAGGGGAACAAGCCCUUUAAGUGUGAGGAGUGUGACUACAGCAGUGUGUAUAAGAAGGACGUCAUUAGACACUCUGCAAUACACAACAAGGACAAGAAAACAAAGUCUGAGUCUUGUGGUCUGUCUGACUCUCAGCAGGUAUCUAAGGUGUUGUCGUUCCCGUGUCCAGUGUGCCAUAGAGUAUACCCCAUGCAGAAGAGACUCACUCAGCACAUGAAGACACACAGUGCUGAGAAACCACACAUGUGUGACAAGUGUGGGAAGUCCUUCAAGAAGAGAUAUACGUUCAAGAUGCAUCUCCUCACACACAUCCAGAGUGUUGACAACAGCCGGUUCAAGUGUGAGUUCUGUGACUAUGACUGUGACAACAAGAAGCUCCUGCUCAACCACCAGCUGUCCCACGCCAACGACCGGCCCUUUAAAUGUGACUACUGUAAAUACUCAACCUCUAAAGAGGACUUCCUGGUCUCUCACCUGGCCAUCAAACACACAGGAGAAAAGCCGUUCUCCUGUGAGAUGUGCCACUUCAUGACGAAGCACCGUAAGAACCUGGGUCUGCACGUCCAGUGUCGCCACCCGGAGGCGUUUGAGGAGUGGAGCGCUACGCACCCUGAGGAGCCCGUCAGGCGGAGGAGGAGACCCUUCUUCACCCAGAAACAGAUAGAGGAAUUCAAACAGCAACAUGACGACACAGCGGGCCUACAGAACACUAUAGUAGCAGUGGAUUCUGACACACUACAAGCCAUGCAGACAAUGCAGAACGCCUCAGUCUCCCAAGAUGCAAUGGGAAACACCACCAUCACUUACGAACAGGCCGGGAAUUCGGACCUGUCAGCCCAGAAUGCUCUGGAUCUGCUGUUGAAUAUGAGCAAUGCCAGACAGUUGGUGGAAAACUCACUACAGGUACAGAUGUUGAAAUCAUCGGACUCCGAGGUUCUAAAAGCGGGCUCCUGGACAGCGGUUACCUCGGCGACCGGGGGAGCCCAAAAGGUUGUGACGUUCCACAUGUCUGAGAAUGGGGAGACCCUGGUGCAAGAGGUCCAGGAGGUCUAUGAGGCUGGGACCAAUGAGAAUGGAGAGAUUACUCAGAUAGCCAUCCAGGACUAUGAGGGGGCAGAGGGCUUCAGUGUGGUGGAACAGAUGGAACAAAGCACUGGCCCUGGAUACAGUAGUGACGUGGGCAGUCCCCAGCCCAUGGAGGAAGAGCAGGAGGGAACAAAAACACUCAAAGAGAACAGAGACACCCAGUACUACCUGACCUCUGGUCUGGGGGAUGGAGUUCUACAGCAGGUAGAGCUAAGCAGUGAGGUCCCCGGUUCCCCCUCCAUGGUGGCAUCCCCCCAGGACCAGAACCAGCUCAACCCAAAGAGGUUCUCCUGUCGUAUCUGCUUAGAGUCGUUCCAGGGCCGCAGUGACAUGGAGAACCACAAGAGGGCCCAUAUUGACCCCUCCACCUUCAAGUGUCCUGACUGUGACUUCACUGCCUCCUCCUGGCCAGAUGUCAAGACCCACAUGGGCAUGCAUACCUACCUGCGGCCUCACAAGUGCCCCAGCUGCAGCUUUGCCUCGAAAAACAGGAAGGACCUGAGGAGACACAUGAUGACGCAUACCAACGAGAAGCCCUUCACCUGCAAGAUCUGUGGACAGAGGUUUAAUCGUAACGGCCACCUCAAGUUCCAUUUGGAGCGACUCCACAGCCAGGACCCUCCGACAAAGAAGAGCCAUUCUGGAGGAGGUUCCCAGCAACAGGCCUUUAUAGUCAGCAAUGACGAGGAGGCUCUCGCCAUGCUACAGUCCCUGCAGGCAGGACAGACCAUCAGUCCGGAGCAGCUACAGAAGGCCCUAGGUCAGGACCACAUUAUAGUGUCCCGGGAACAUGGCCUGGAAGACAAGGAGGAGGCCACGUACAUCCAGCAGAUCACCACAGCGGACGGACAGACGUUACAGUACAUAACAGGAGACAACCAGGUCCAGUAUGUCAUCUCUCAGGAUGGAGUCCAACACUUCCUACCCCAGGAGUACGUGGUGCUAGCAGACGGGAACCACAUCCAGAUGUCAGACGGACAGAUCAUCCAAUAUGAGAAUGAUGGGGCCUUCCUACAGGAGCAACAGAUUUCCCUGAGUCAUGACAGCCAGAUCCAUUAUCUUCCCGUCAGUUCAGAACAACAGAUAGUCAGACCUGAAGACUUGGAGGUUGCUGAACACUCUGCUGUCACCGUCAUAGCAGAUGCCGCCACGCAGCAGACACAGACCGUCUACACUGAGGCCACACAAGAACAGCUGGAGCUGCUACAACAGCAGGGCAUCCAGUAGGAUGUCGUCACCUUCACCGACGAGCAGAGAUGACUUCAUCACCUUCAGACACUGAUGUUGGAUGUGAUGUCACUGCUUUAAAGGACAGAGAGACGGGCCUGCAGUGCAGGACCCAGUGUGAUGGAACCAUAUGAGCUGUGACAGUGACAUACAUUGUUUUUUUUAUUUUAUUGAUUUAACCUUUUAACUAGGCAAGUCAGUUAAGAACAAAUUCUUAUUUACGAUGUUGACCUAGGAACAGUGGGUUAACUGCUUUUUUUUGGACCCCUUAUCAGCCUUUGGAUUCGAUCCAGCGGUUUCGGUUACUGGCCCAACGCUCUAACAACUAGGCUACCUGCCGCCCCCCCCCUAGUAGCCAUCGUUUAGGAAAUCAGCCAAAGCAAGGCUCUGCACCCAAGCUACAAAUCAUCUUGUAUCCCAAACAACUACAUUACAUGAUCAGGAUUAGCAAUUCUGGGCAGUGCCUUGCUCAAGCUGAUCCCCCCCCCCAAACACGGUGCUCUACUCUGAUAUCUGUGAUACACUAUAUAUACAAAAGUAUGUGGCCACCCCUUCGAAUUAGUGGAUUCGGCUAUUUCAGCCACACCCGUUGCUGACAUGUGUAUAAAAUCAAGCACACCGCCAUGCAAUCUCCAUAGACAAACAUUGGCAGUAGAAUGGCCUUACUAAAGAGCUCAGUGACUUUCAAUGUGGCACCAUCACAGGAUGCCACCUUUCCAACAAGUCAGUUCGUCAAAUUUCUGCCCUGCUGGAGCUGCCCCAGUCAACUGUAAGUGCUGUUAUUGUGAAGUGGAAAUGUCUAGGAGUAACAACGGCUAAGCUGCGAAGUGGUAGGCUACUUAAGCUCACAGAACGGGACCGCCGAGUUCUGAAGUGCGUAAAAGUCGUCUGUCCUCAGUUGCAACACUCACUACCGAGUUCCAAACUACCUCUGGAAGCAACAUCAGCACAAGAACUGUUCAUCGGGAGCUUCCUGAAAUGGGUUUUCAUGGCUGUGCAGCCGCACACAAGCCUAAGAUCCAGCGUAGGCUGGAGUGGUGUAAAACUUGCGCUGCAGCAUACAAUUCCAUUCUAGAUGAUUCUGUUCUUCCAACUUUGUGAAAACUGUUUGGGGGAAGACCCUUUCCUGUUUCAGCAUGACUGUGCCCAGAGCGAGGUCGAUACAGAAAUGGUUUGGGGAUAGAGAGAGAGAGAGAGAGACCCAUGAUUUUUGGAAUGAGAUGUUUGACUAGCAGUUGUCCACAUACUUUUUUGUCAUGUGGUGUAUCUUCAGAUAUGAGUUGAUAGGAACUGCAGUAGGGAGGAUUUAAGUGGCUGCUAGCUAUCUCAUCUUUUCAGUGUUCCAAUAGAUGAACUCUCACUGUUAAAUACAUACCGGUAUACAAAAAGCUUCUGUAAAUUCUAAAAUGUUGCAAAUUCUAAGUUGAUCAUAGGGGCUGCUGUACAUUUUAAGGAACAAAGUUACACGAGAGGUUGGUUGGUCUAGGGUGAGUCCCAAAUGACACCCUAUUCCCCACAUAGGGCACUACUUUAGACCAAAAUAAAUCAGUUAUUGGUUGCCUUUUGGUACGUAACCCCACUCUGUAAUUAUUUAAAAUGAUCUUUCUGCGUGUGCCUCAAUACCUGCUUUGACUUGCAAGACGAAGAAGAAGAAGAAGAGGGAAUUAAAUGGCUGAUUUAUAUUUAAGCAAUAAGGCCCGAGGAGGUGUGGUAUUAUGGCCAAUAUACAAAGGCUAAGGACUGUUCUUAGGCACGACACAACACGCUAAGCCGUGGUAUAUUGGCCAUACAUCACAAACUCCCGAGGUGCAUUAUUGCUAACAUAAAUUGGUUACCAAUGUAAUUAGAGCACAAAAAAUACAUGUUUUGUCAUACGAGUGGUAAUACGGUCUGAUAUACCACGGCUGUCAGCCAAUCAGAAUUCAGGGGGCUCGACCCACCCAGUUUAUAAUUCAGAAUAGAGCACAGCAUCCAAUCGAUGCCUAUGGAGGAUCGGAUGACUGACUGUGUGACUACAGGAUUGAUUGCGAUUCGUGGAUAAAGAGUGGUUAAUCAUUUGGUUAUUUGUACAUAUAUUUUUGCAUAUAAAGCAUUUUGUCCCAUGAUCAAGGAUAUGCUUGAAUGAAAAUGUCUGAAUAACUAAAAGCUGAUACCAAAUAAAUCACUGAUAUAUUGUGUAAGAUCUUUCACUUCUCAUUUUGUGAUUUAGUUUUUUUAUGUUUUUAUUUUGGUCCAGAUCAUUUGUUUUUCUAUGACCAAAACAGAGGUAUUGUGAUACUACUUGGACCCAUGAUGGCCGAGCUGGUACCGUGACAACCUGUCAUCUUCAUACUCUAAGCCGAUAAUGAGCGUGUCCUAAAACCUGUAAAAAUCACAUUUUAUUUGUCACAUACACAUGGUUAGCAGAUGUUAAAGCGAGUGUAGCGAAAUGCUUGUAAUUGCAAGUUAGAGAGAUCCCCUCCCCCAAAUGAAGGAAGUUAAUCACAAGGCUGGUGUCAGAACAGUGCAGUCAAACCGCUAUCAACUUAGAGGGGGGGGUGAGUAAGAUGUAUGGGGACAGCUGCCCAGCCUCAGUGAGUAUCUCACUGAGGAUGAAAAUGACUAUCUUUCUCUUGCUUCUUCUAUUAGAUGACCCUGAGAUAGAAGCACAACAGUGGACGGAGGUGAAUGGACAAGUAUACGGACACGUUCUGCUGAGAUUUAUCUUUCCUCCCUUCUACAAUGGUUACGAGAAGUUAUGUUCUAAACUAUAUCCUGGGCCAUUUCCUGUUGUGAAUACCAGAGGAUAUGUCAACAACUUCUACAAGGGACGAAUAUCGAGAACGGAAUACAACGGUGAGAUGUACGUUAUGAUAUGGAAUUUAAAACCUGUGGACGCAGGCGACUACAGGUGUGUUGUCAGCAGUGUGAAUCAUAUCUACUCUGACUUUCACCUCCAGAUUGAUAGUGGUCGACGUAGAGGUCCUGUACCCCCUCGACCUCGUGUCAGAUCAACCAUCAGACCCUCCAUCUCCUCAUCAUCAUCAUCAGACACCUCUGUGCCUUUUUUUCCCAGUAUUUCCCAGAGUGUUGGUAUACCACUGGCUGCAGGUCUCUGCAUCUCGAUGGGGAUCGUUAUCUGUUCAAUCAUAGUUGCUGUGGUUCAUCGCAAAGUCAGGGCAAAAAAGAAAUGUGGAGCAACUUCCAGUGACUCAGCAGCUCACAUCCUCUCAGUAAGAGCUAAACUUGGACGUUGUCUCCGUGACUCAGCAGCCCGCGUCCUCUCACACGUCCCUCAAAAGGAGAGCAGUAUUGUCUACGCCACAGUGGACUUCAAACCUCAGGAGAAACAUACCACAGAGCUGUAUGCUAACCUACAGACACUCAGCAGCCCCAGAGGUCAUGACCCUGACACACACACAGAGCCUGCUGGGACGGUGGUGUACUCCACGCUGGCUAGCAACCAACGCUGAACCAGAAUGUUACAUAUCUGUAUCUUUCUUAGCCUGGUGGUCACAGAUCUGUUUGUGCUGUCUUGAUAUGCUAUCAUGACCAGGCUAUCUGUAUAAUCCUUAGUUGCUACAUAUUUUUUUUAAAUUCAUGAUAUAUACUUAUAAAUGCCUCAUGAGCUUAGUUCAUCUAUCGUACCCCAUCAGAACCCAAAAUAUAAGCUUGUUUUACUCCAAUGUUUGUAAACAAAGUAAAUGUAAUCAAACACAUUAUAGCCUCAACACAUGGUUAAAACUAUAGUGUUGAUAUCAUGGAUGGUCAGUUCUUUUAUCCAUAGCUCUGUCUAGGAUAGAGACACACCCAUCCUUCCGCUUCUUACCAAAACAGAGGCGGGGUGCCACUUUGUUUCAACUUUGGUUUCUAGCUUUAAGAUGAUUGAUUUGUCUAUAUUCUUUUGACUUAUGAACUAUACAAAUAAAAUAACUACCCAUUCAUA